rnacentral:rRNA from 1 species
ACUCAAAGGAAUUGACGGGGGCCCGCACAAGCGGUGGAGCAUGUGGUUUAAUUCGACGCAACGCGCAGAACCUUACCAGCCCUUGACAUGCCUGUCGCGGAGACGAGAGAUCGACUCCUUCGGUUCGGCCGGACAGUGCACAGGUGCUGCAUGGCUGUCGUCAGCUCGUGUCGUGAGAUGUUGGGUUAAGUCCCGCAACGAGCGCAACCCUCGUCUUCAGUUGCCAUCAUUUAGUUGGGCACUCUGGAGAGACUGCCGGUGACAAGCCGGAGGAAGGUGGGGAUGACGUCAAGUCCUCAUGGCCCUUACGGGCUGGGCUACACACGUGCUACAAUGGCGGUGACAAUGGGCAGCGAUGGCGCAAGCCGGAGCAAAUCCCAAAAAGCUGUCUCAGUUCGGAUUGCACUCUGCAACUCGAGUGCAUGAAGUUGGAAUCGCUAGUAAUCGCGCAACAGCAUGGCGCGGUGAAUACGUUCCCGGGCCUUGCACACACCGCCCGU